rnacentral:rRNA from 1 species
AGAGUUUGAUCCUGGCUCAGAUUGAACGCUGGCGGCAGGCCUACACAUGCAGUCGAGCGGAUGAAGAGAGCUUGCUCUCUGAUUCAGCGGCGGACGGGUGAGUAAUGCAUAGGAAUCUGCCCGAUAGUGGGGGAUAACCUGGGGAAACCCAGGCUAAUACCGCAUACGUCCUACGGGAGAAAGGGGGCUCCGGCUCCCGCUAUGGGAUGAGCCUAUGUCGGAUUAGCUAGUUGGUGAGGUAAAGGCUCACCAAGGCGACGAUCCGUAACUGGUCUGAGAGGAUGAUCAGUCACACUGGAACUGAGACACGGUCCAGACUCCUACGGGAGGCAGCAGUGGGGAAUAUUGGACAAUGGGCGAAAGCCUGAUCCAGCCAUGCCGCGUGUGUGAAGAAGGUCUUCGGAUUGUAAAGCACUUUAAGUUGGGAGGAAGGGCAGUAAGUUAAUACCUUGCUGUUUUGACGUUACCGACAGAAUAAGCACCGGCUAACUUCGUGCCAGCAGCCGCGGUAAUA